AUCACCCCCACCCACUCCCGGCCCGGCCGCUGCCAAGUCGGAGGAGCCGCUGGAGUGUCUCCCUCUACCGGAGGCUCUCGGGCGGCGGGCGCGGGCCUGCUCCUGCGGCAGGGAGGCGGGCGGCCUGGAGAAGCGGCUCCGCUCGCGAGGAGCCUCGGAUGGGGAGUGCGGUGGACCCCCAGGAACUCUGGAGCACCCUCCCGCCCCCAAGCCAAGUCCUCCUUAGCGAACAACCGGGGCCGAGUUCCAAGAUAUCACCGGUGCUGAGGGGACCGAGAUGAGGAUCCUUGGAUCCCCCAAAAGAGAACACCAGCUCUGGGAUCGCCAGGCCCUGGCUCAGCUCUCCACCCUGUAAUGAAAUGGCCAGCUAUCUGGGACAUUACUGCUCUCCAGCUCUUCCAUCUCUUCUGCUUCUGCCGACCCCACAGAGGACCAGCAUGAAAGGAGAUCAUUAGGCUAUUCAGGGCCUCCCUCAGACUGCAGAGGUGGCUAAGAACUCCCUGCCCACAACCCCUGCCCAGGGUUACAUGGGGUUUUGAAAGCAUUAUUCUCCCCAAACAAAAACCACCUCUCCCAUUUGGACUGAAGGAUCCAUCCCUGAGCCCCUUGUCUCCUAUCUCCUUUUCAGUAGCCUCCUCGCCAUCAGAACUGUCACUCCCGCUGCCAUCAUCCUCUCCUUCAGCACCAUCUCCAUUCUCAUCACUCGCAUCACCACCACCUCACACAGAACCAUCUGCAUCCUUCUGCUCACCCAGUGGACCCUCUUCUCCCUGUACCCAGGGAGGAACCCUAUCAGCAUUUGCUGCCUUUGAUGCUGCAUCCAAACUCUAAGCCCUCCUGAGCUAAGGAUUUUGCAUGGCUGGGCUCCCAACUGUAUUCUGGCAGCUGGGCCCCAUGGCAGCCAGACUGCAGGGCUCAGAGAAACAACCAACAACCCUGGGAAGGGGUGAAGGCCACAUGCCCUGCAGAAGAUGGUCCCGUCUUAUUGCAUUAGAAAGGGACAGUGAAGAAGAGUGACCAAAUGAGGGAGCAAGAAACCCCCAGCUUACCUCGCAUAGGGACCACGGUUUACUUAGCAAGGAAGAACAAAACGGAACAACAGCAAUAAUAAUAGCUAAUAUGUAUUGCUUAUUGGCUGGGUGCCAGACUCCAUGCUGAGUGCCGAACAUGCAUUGUUCAUCAGAUCUCCACAGCACCCCUAUGUGGCUUAGGUAAGUGAAGGAACUUGUCGCCAGGUGUGAACUCAGACAGGCUGCCAUCAGAACCCACACUCCAAACCACCAUUCUGAAUUGCUCCUUCAUAAAGCAUAAACGUUCACUCCCUUGCCCCCCUCAUCCAUUCAUUUAUUCACUGAUUCACUCAUUCAGCAUGCAUACACUGAUAGCCUCUAAGAAACUUACCAGCUCAUUGGUUCCCAUUCAGCAUCUAGGCUGUCCAGGCACAUAGAAGGCACUCGGCUAUGAAGACGAAUAAAUCAGAAUCCCUGAACUCCCAGAAAUCUUUAAGGUUUUCAGGGGCCAUGAGAGAUGUGGAAAAGCCUAAUUCUGCCUUCAGAUCACACCCAUAUUUUACAGCAGAGAAACUGAGGCCUAGUAGGAGGGACAUGGAAAGGGUGUUCAAAUCUCUCCCGAUUUAACAGUCAAGUAAGAGUCCACUUGGAUUCUCAACACAAAUCAGGGUUUGUCUUCCAGCCUCACCCGUCUCCGGAGAUUUUGCAUAUAUGUUGUGUCACUGCUUGGCUGCGUGGUCCUUUUGACAGACUCAGUAAGUCUCUUUCUGCCUUUAUUCCCAUUGGCUACUUUCACAAUACCCAGUAGUAAUGUCCACACCCAAAUCAAAACUCAUCCACUCCAGAAACUACUUCAUUCAGGACACCUAUGUCUUGUAUCCCCAGAGCUUAUGUGUUCACAUUCCCAUCAUAGUAGUAUACAUUUGUAUGAUCCUUUGUAUGUGUUCUUAAAUUUCGAGUACGUAUACAUUAGUUCAAGCAGCUUUUGAACUUCAUGAAGGCAAGGAUUUAGUGUUUCUUUUAUAUCCUACCUUCUCCUUCCCAAUCUCUCAGUCUCUCAGCAUCUGGUAACAAUCUCAGCCUAUUCAAAUUACUAAUAAAUGCAAAUUUCUUGACCUU
rnacentral:lncRNA from 1 species